rnacentral:rRNA from 1 species
GACGAACGCUGGCGGCGUGCUUAACACAUGCAAGUCGAACGGAAAGGCCCUGCUUUUGUGGGGUGCUCGAGUGGCGAAAGGGUGAGUAACACGUGAGUAACCUGCCCUUGACUUUGGGAUAACUUCAGGAAACUGGGGCUAAUACCGGAUAGGAGCUCCUGCUGCAUGGUGGGGGUUGGAAAGUUUCGGCGGUUGGGGAUGGACUCGCGGCUUAUCAGCUUGUUGGUGGGGUAGCGGCUUACCAAGGCUUUGACGGGUAGCCGGCCUGAGAGGGUGACCGGCCACAAUGGGACUGAGAUACGGCCCAGACUCCUACGGGAGGCAGCAGUGGGGAAUAUUGCACAAUGGGCGGAAGCCUGAUGCAGCAACGCCGCGUGCGGGAUGACGGCCUUCGGGUUGUAAACCGCUUUCGCCUGUGACGAAGCGUGAGUGACGGUAAUGGGUAAAGAAGCACCGGCUAACUACGUG